GGAGGAUUGGCAGAGCGGCAAUUGCACUGCGCUGUAAACGCAAGGCCCUUUGUGGGCUUCACAGGUUCGAGUCCUGUAUCCUCCACCA
rnacentral:tRNA from 1 species